UGGCGCCCACUGUGGGGCUUGAGAACGUGGAGGAUAGGUGAACGUCGCACACCAAAGCAGGCCUGCAUAUCAGUUGGACCACCGUGGAGAAUGCUCCAUGAGCGAAGGUCCGGUCAGUGAUCGCCACGGGGACACCCGACCGUGAGACAGAUCUGGGGAGUUGAUUUGUGCCAACGCAAGGUAACUUUACCAUGGGACAAGCAUUUAGUAAGCAGGAUUUAUUUCUUUCAGGACUUAAACAGUCUCUCAAGACACGAGGAACAAGGGUUAAAAAGAAAGAUUUAAAAAAGUUUCUUGAUUAUAUUGGGGACCUUUGUCCCU
rfam:Neotoma lepida isolate 417 scaffold_112, whole genome shotgun sequence.